AUACGUAGGUGACAAGCGUUAUCCGGAUUUACUGGGCGUAAAGGGCGUGUAGGCGGUCUUGCAAGUCAGAAGUGAAAUUCCUGAGCUCAACUCGGGCGCUGCUUCUGAAACUGCAGGACUUGAGUGCUGGAGGGGAUAGCGGAAUUCCUAGUGGAGCGGUAAAAUGCGCAGAUAUUAGGAAGAAUACCGGUGGCGAAGGCGGCUAUCUAGACAGUAACUGACUCUGAAGCGCGAAAGCGUGGGGAGCAAACAGGAUUAGAUACCCUGGUAGUCCACGACGUAAACGAUGAAUACUAGGUGUAGGGGUUAUAGACUCCCUCUGUGCCGCAGUUAACACAAUAAGUAUUCCGCCUGGGGAGUACGGCCGCAAGGUUGAAACUCAAAUGAAUUGACGGGG
rnacentral:rRNA from 1 species